rnacentral:rRNA from 1 species
GACGUAGGGUGCAAGCGUUGUCCGGAUUUACUGGGCGUAAAGAGCGCGUAGGCGGCUUGUCGCGUCGUUCGUGAAAACCCGGGGCUCAACUCCGGGCUUGCGGGCGAUACGGGCAGGCUAGAGUUCGGUAGGGGAGACUGGAAUUCCUGGUGUAGCGGUGAAAUGCGCAGAUAUCAGGAGGAACACCGGUGGCGAAGGCGGGUCUCUGGACAGUUCCUGACACUGAGGCACGAAGGCCAGGGGAGCAAACCGG